rnacentral:lncRNA from 1 species
AAAUUACCUAGGAAGAGGUAACAGAAGUAGUUUUCUCCAUUGUUACUUUUAUAAAAUUAAAGCUGUUUCCCCAGUGGCCUAAAUUAUGCCAGGGAAAAUUGACUUUAUAAAUCCUUUGGGUUCCUGUUGAAGAUACUCUUUAAGGUGUAGAAUUGCACUUUCACUUUUCCUCUGAUAGUGAACAUGAAAGCCUGCUGUGCUGGCCAGGGGCUUUUCAGCACCAGCCUUUUUGAAAUGUGAGAGUGUCCUGGUUUAGCUUAGCCAUAACU